rnacentral:lncRNA from 1 species
UGAUAUUACAAUGGAAAGAAAUUAGCCAAAUCAAAACCCAAUUAAUGGUGAAUGACAUUGCAUCAAUAGUUAUUAAUGGUGGAUACCCCACCAUCGGUAUUUAAUCUACAUCAUAUUAUGAUCAUCAGUUGUAAUAUACUAACAAUAGAAUACAUACCAUUAAUAUAUUUUUGAUGGAACCAUUCUCAAUGUUAGAAGAUGAUCUGAUCGA